UUCCGCUUUUAUGCCACACAGUCAGACACAUCUGGCUUCUGCAUAAGGGAAAAUGAGCACUAGAGGGUUUAAAGAAUUGCCCUUUCCGGGCCAGUGAGAUAACUCAGUGGGUGAACGUCCUUGCCAUGCGAGCCCGACAACCCGACUUUACUCCCCGGGAUUCACAAGGUGGAAGGAGAGAACCGACUCCUAAAAGGUGUCCUUUGACCUCUGCACGUGUGCCACGGCAGCAUACAUGUGUCUAUGCCCACACCUACACACUCACAGAGGUAACAUUCCUUCUAACGCGAGCAUCCCCUACACCCCAUCCUUCCUUUACGUACCUGUCAUCCGUUAGCACCCAUCAUGUUACCUGCCCUCAAUACAUGGACCCUAUGUCUCCCAGUCACCCCUUUGUCACCCUUCCCCCAUUACUGGGGGUCCAACCGAGGGCCUUACGCGCGCACACAGCGAGCUCGCUGCCACUGAGCCAGACCCCCAGGCUCCCGUUGGUUUCCAUCAACUGUGCAUUUGUCUAUGCUCGUCUAGACGGGUCAGUACACAUCUCUCAAUUCUCUCUCCACUCUCUCCCUUCCCCGCUCUAUCUUUCCUCUCCCCCUCCAUCUCUCUCUUCCCCUCUAAUCUCCAUUUCUCUCAUCCCCCCCACCCCGUUUCCCUUCCUCAUCCCAACCCGGACUCAAACUUGCUACAUAGCCGAGAACAACCUUGAAUUUGCCGUCACGAUGGGUUUUAAAUGGCGCUGGGGAUAAGAGCCAGAGCUUUCACGCACCCACGCACACUAGGAUCUUUCUGGGUAGCCUCAGCUGUCCUGAAAUUCGCUCUGUAGACUAGGCUGAUCUUGAACUCAGAUCUGCUCACCUCUGCCUCCUGAGAGCUGGGAUUCAAGGUGUAUGCCACCAGUACCUUGGCUAGUACUCUGACUUUCACGUUCGAAUGUCAUCCCCGGCCCCUCAAAACAAAACACGAAAGCUGUUUGAAAAAAAAAAAAAAAAAGUCUCGACUGCAUUUGUUCAUCAGAGCCGGCCCUGCUGGGAGAGGUCACCGAUCCUCACACAAUAGGAGAUCCAGCCAAAAGGAGUGAAGACACAAUACACCCUACAACACGGAUCAGCUUUGCCAAGGACAGACAAUCCCAAAGGGCUGUUACUUCUCCCCCCCCCCCCCGACAGAAUCGGAAGUUAGCAGACACCCUUCGACAGACUGUCUGAACCAGUGCUUUGCAGUCCUAAAGGGAAAGCUGUUGGAUGCCAAGAUUUGCUUGGAUUGUAUAGAUCUGUGGCUCUCAGGCCCCGGUCAUCAAGGAGGUUGUGCCCCUAGAAACAUUUGGUGACAGUUCUGGUCGCUGCAGCUGGAGCAGGCGAGUCUCCCUGACAUGUGGCGUGUUGAAGCCAGGCACACUUUUCAGCAUCCUGCAGUGUGCAGGAAGCCCCUUAACACAGAAGCAGGUAGCCCCCCGGCGUCUGGUAACCUACCAGGAACCCAGGAGCAGCGCCUUCCUCUCCGCCAGCUCCUUCCCGCUGAGACAGGGUGCUCUACCGCCACCUGGUGUGCACCGAGAGAACGCCAAACACUCAGGAGACUACGGGGAUCAAAGGGAACCUGACCCGUUCCACCUCCUUGAAUGGCACAGGAAACUUCAUGGCUUCAGCUGGGCACACCAAUUCGCCAACCCGCAGGACGUGGCAAGGCAGGCAGAGACAAGAAAAGCAACCCGAGCUGAGGUCUACAACAAAAUGCAAAGACUGGACUGGAGAGAGGGCUUCGGGGGGUUAAGAACACUUACUGCUCUUGCACAGGGCCCCAGAUCCCAGCACCCACAUGGGGUAGGGAGCUCACCACCUCCUGGACCUCCAGCUCCAGGGGGUCAAACAGCUCUGGCCUCCGAGGGCACCUGCACUCAUGUACACAGAAAAGGAACUUCUUUAAAAAAGGCAAAGAAUCGGCAACUCUCAGCCACACCCCACCCGGGAACCCUGGGUCAAUGCAAUGUUAGCAUAUUCCCUAGGUGAGCUGGAGCAGGAGCAGGUCCUCAAUGGUGCUCCCCCC
rnacentral:lncRNA from 1 species